rnacentral:piRNA from 1 species
UAGAUAUAUUCAUAUAUCUCAAUGCCCGA